GACGAACGCUGGCGGCGUGCCUAAUACAUGCAAGUAGAACGCUGAAGGAGGAGCUUGCUUCUCUGGAUGAGUUGCGAACGGGUGAGUAACGCGUAGGUAACCUGCCUGGUAGCGGGGGGUAACUAUUGGAAACGAUAGCUAAUACCGCAUAAUAUUGACUAUUGCAUGAUAGUCAGUUGAAAGGUGCAACUGCACCACUACCAGAUGGACCUGCGUUGUAUUAGCUAGUUGGUGGGGUAACGGCUCACCAAGGCGACGAUACAUAGCCGACCUGAGAGGGUGAUCGGCCACACUGGGACUGAGACACGGCCCAGACUCCUACGGGAGGCAGCAGUAGGGAAUCUUCGGCAAUGGACGGAAGUCUGACCGAGCAACGCCGCGUGAGUGAAGAAGGUUUUCGGAUCGUAAAGCUCUGUUGUAAGAGAAGAACGAGUGUGAGAGUGGAAAGCUCACACUGUGACGGUAUCUUACCAGAAAGGGACGGCUAACUACGUG
rnacentral:rRNA from 1 species